AGUGAACGCUGGCGGCGUGCCUAAUACAUGCAAGUCGAACGGAGUGGCGCACGGGUGAGUAAUGUAUAGCUAAUCUGCCCUACACUAGAGGACAACAGUUGGAAACGGUAGCUAAUACCGCAUACCAUCGGAUGUGCCCAGAUGGGAUUAGCUAGUUGGUGAGGUAAUGGCUCACCAAGGCUAUGACGCAUAACUGGUCUGAGAGGAUGAUCAGUCGCACUGGAACUGAGACACGGUCCAGACUCCUACGGGAAGCAGCAGUAGGGAAUAUUGCUCAAUGGGGGAAACCCUGAAGCAGCAACGCCGCGUGGAGGAUGACACUUUUCGGAGCGUAAACUCCUUUUGUUAGGGAAGCGGUACCUAACGAAUAAGCACCGGCUAACUCCGUGCCAGCAGCCGCGGUAAUAC
rnacentral:rRNA from 1 species